rnacentral:rRNA from 1 species
GACGAACGCUGGCGGCGUGCUUAACACAUGCAAGUCGAGCGGUGAAGGCCUGCUCUUGUACGAACCGGAUGAGGCGCGAAGGGGUGAGUCACGUGAGUAGCCUCCGCUUUUGUGUGGGGUACCAUCAGUGGAAAGGAGUGCUUACACCGCAUAAACUCUUUAUACAUAAGGUUGAUGGGUGAGAUUCGGCGUUUCAGGACGGACUCGCGGCUUCGCAGUUUGUUGGUGGGGUAGUGGAUUACCGAGGCUCUGACGGGUAGCCGGCGUGAGAGGGUGACCGGCCACAGUGGGACUGAGAGACGGCCCAGCCUCCUACGGGAGGCAGCAGUGGGGAAUAUUGAACAAUGGGCGGAAGCCUGAUGCAGCAACGCCGCGUGCGGGAUGACGGCCUUCGGGUUGUAAACCGCUUGCGCCUGUGACGAAGCGUGAGUGACGGUAAUGGGUAAAGAAGCACCGGCUAACUACGUG